AGCGUAGACGGACUGGCAAGUCUGAUGUGAAAGGCGGGGGCUCAACCCCUGGACUGCAUUGGAAACUGUUAGUCUUGAGUGCCGGAGAGGUAAGCGGAAUUCCUAGUGUAGCGGUGAAAUGCGUAGAUAUUAGGAGGAACACCAGUGGCGAAGGCGGCUUACUGGACGGUAACUGACGUUGAGGCUCGAAAGCGUGGGGAGCAAACAG
rnacentral:rRNA from 1 species